CUCGUAGGCGGUUCGUCGCGUCCGGUGUGGAAGUCCAUCGCUUAACGGUGGAUCCGCGCCGGGUACGGGCGGGCUUGAGUGCGGUAGGGGAGACUGGAAUUCCCGGUGUAACGGUGGAAUGUGUAGAUAUCGGGAAGAACACCAAUGACGAAGGCAGGUCUCUGGGCCGUCACUGACGCUGAGGAGCGAAAGCGUGGGGAGCGAACA
rnacentral:rRNA from 1 species